CAUUUUCCACAUAACACGUUCUCCCCAGAUAAAACUCCCCCACAUAACACCCCACCACACAUCCUCUAUAAAAUCAUAUCACAACCAAAAGAAAAGUGGGAGAAGAAAAAAAAUACACAAAAAAAAGGCAUCAGCAUAUUUGAAAAAUAAAAACUACAAAAAGAAAUACACAAAAGGGGAAGAAAUAAAAAAAAAAGAAAACAAAAAGAGGCCAAAACAGAAAGAGAAAAUUGGCAUGAUCGUCGUCUUCUUCAUGAAGACAUUGUCAAUCUAAAAUCACCAAAAAAACGACCCCACACCAUAUAAAAAAAAAAAAAAUUCCUUCCAAUCGUCCUCUCUCUUUCAUCUCACUGCCAUCGACACCCAAACAAUCCGAACGACCCUUCAUCUCCUCCCAAACUCGCCGGAAACCAGUACUGAAAAGCCAUGAAAAUCGGCCAGUAACUCCAGUUUUUGAAACGCAAUCGCAAGGUCUCACAACCUGUCGAAAUACCAACUCGAAGUUCCGGCUGCCGUCGAGGUUCGUUCAUGGUUCGGUUCGUGUAUGUUGCUCGUAGUCUGAUCGUCGUUUCGUCAUAACUGCUGCUUUGAUUCCUCCUCGUGUUACUACGGAAGUUGUAUUAAUUGAAGUUCAAUUUCAGGUUCAUAUCGACAACCUCUGUCUCUAUUUUGAUUUAUUAGUCGAACCUUUGGUUUGUGUACUUGAUCUCGUUUGUUAAAUUACUCUUGUUGAAUACCCGACAAUGAGCAAUUUGAAUCUAUAGAAGGAAUGACUUAUUUCCUUGAUCCUUACUGUUCUUGAGAUUGGUGUGUGUUUGUGUUUGCCACUGAGUCUAAUAAUGGGCGACUCCUUUCCUUGCCGUAUUAAAUAAAUAGAAAAUUACUUAUGAACUGGUUUGGAGAGUUGGGUUAAAAGUUGCUAUCGUUUGGUUACUAGUAGAAUCACUCGGUUUUUGUUUCGAUCAACCUGGGUUUUAAUUGGUCUUGCUCUUACAAUAUUGUUUGACCUUUAUACUCUGUUUUAAAAAAGAAAAACUUGAAGAAUAAGCGAGAUUUUGCCUCAUGUCGAUGCAGUUUACCUGUUGGAACGUUAUUGUAGUUUCAUUGAGAAAUUAAUGGCUGCUGCAAAUGUGUGUUUCAAUUAGAUGCUAAUUGUUGGAACAUCUGUAGCUUGCUAUUAAUAAGUAAACUAUUGGACAUUGUGUAUCAACACAAAGUAGAGAUCCUACUUGACUGCAACCUAUUGGAGUGUGGUGGUGAUUCCCAUGAAAUUGGAUAUGUGCUAAAUAUUUUGUUCUAUAAGUUAGUCAACACAAAGUAGAGAUCCUGCUUGACUGCAACCUUUUGGUUUGAAAAUUAUAGAUUUUUAAUAAUUAUAGACAAUUAGAUUUGAGGUGUGCCAUAUUAGUCAAGUGUAUGAUUUAUGGCACUCAUGAGCUAAUUUAGAAAUUUUUUGGUUAGAAUAAAUCGAGGUGUGUCGCUCCGCACGAAAUGACAAUUGUGUGGCUCUCAUUUUCAUUCCGUAAAAUUACUUAGAAUUCAGGAGGGCCGUUUAGCAAAUUUCGCGGCCUUCCUCAAAAUAAUAUUGCGCUAGAAUCUUUAGGCGCGUUCUAAUUAAAUUACUUUCCUAAAUUUGGGUGUGCAUUGAUGCGACCCAAAUCCAAAUCUCGACAAAAUAAAAAUGUGUUGACAACCACGAGUGCCUUGAUGGCGACGUGGUCAGAGAUGCAUUUUCACGACGUCGUAAUUCUAUAAAACAAAUAAUGGUCGAAAUAGGUUCAAAAAUAGAGACGAACCUCACCGAACAAAAAUAAAUGUGGGGCCCUCUAUAAUUGGUUGUUAAAUUUUAUUAGAAUUUGAAAGGGCCGUUUAACGAAUUUCAAUGGCUUUUUCCAAACAAUAUUACGUUAGAACUUUUAAGAGCGAUUUAAUUAAUUUACUUCCUUAAAUUCGGGUGCGCAUUGAUGCGACCAAAAUCCAAAUCUCGACGAAGUCGAAAUGUGUUGACGAAUACUCGUGCCUUGAUGGCGACAUGGUCAGAGACGUCACGACGUCGCAAGUCUUUUAAAAUCAAUAAUGGUAAAAGCGGUAUAUAAAUAGAAGGCACAUAAGUUAGCAUGUAUUAAAAUCAGAUAAAAUAAAAUAUUACAGUUAAGCGACCCUGCUAGAACCACGAAACCCGGGAAUGCCUAACACCUGCUCCCGGGUUAACAGAAUUCCUUAUCCGGAUUUUUGGUUCGUAGAUUGUAAUACAGAGUCAAUCUUUUCCUCGGUUCGGGAUUAAACCGGUGACUUGGGACACCAUAAAACUCCCAAGUGGCGACUUUGAUCUUUAAUAAUCAAAUCCAGUUCCGAUUGUCCUUUAAGUAGAAAAACUCCUUUACCCCCUUUCCGGGGGCGUAUAGCGAAAAAGGAGGUGUGACAAUAUAUAUAUAUAUAUAUAUAUACACACACAUAUAUGUAUAUACUAUUUCGGAAACACAUUAUACUUACUGUGGUGUUAUAAUGUUGAAUAUGUGUUUUCUUACUACUCAGUCUUUAUUUACUCUUAAUACUUACCGAGUUGAAAAAACUCACAUUACUCCUUGCACCUUAUGUGCAGAUUCAGGUAUUUGUGAACCCGGUAGCAGGUGUUGAUUACUUAGUGGCAGGUUCAUCGGAGUUAGCAAGGUUGCUGCCCAUUGUCGCGGCCCUACUCUUCUCCCUCUUAUCUUCCUUAUAUUAUUUUUAGUAUAUUUUUAGGCUUUUCGUUGUAUUCAGAAAUUAGUAGGUACUCGUGACUUGUGACAACCGAUGUACGGGUUGUGUAUUUAUUCUACACUGAUUGUGUAGACUUGUAUUAUGAGACUUCUUGUUAAUAAUUUGCUUAAAAAUGACUUUUAUAGAAUAGUAGUUUGAUUUGAAAAUUGUGCCGGCUGGACUAGUUUUACGAUAGACGCCAUCAAUCGGGUCGAUUUUAGGGUCCUGACAUGUUGGUAUCAGAGCCUAGGUUAUAUAGGUCUCAUGAGUCAUUAGCGGGAUUAGUAGAGUUUUGUGAAUCGGUAC
rnacentral:lncRNA from 1 species